rnacentral:rRNA from 1 species
AACGGCCGCGGUAUUCUGACCGUGUGAAGGUAGCGUAAUCACUUGUCUUUUAAAUGAGGACCCGUAUGAAUGGCACAACGAGGGCUUAACUGUCUCAUUCUUCUAGUCAAUGAAAUUGAUCUUCUCGUGCAGAAGCGAGGAUAAUACCAUAAGACGAAAAGACCCUGUGGAGCUUUAGAUUAAAAAUAGCUUAAAAUUUUAAGAACUUAAAUUCUAUUAUAUCUUCGGUUGGGGCGACCAUGGAGAAAAAAUAAUCCUCCACAAGAAUAACACAUGUUUUAUUAAACAAGAACUACACUUCAAGGUUUUAGAACUUCUAAUCUUUUGAUCCGGACUGCCGAUUAAUGAAACAAGUUACCCCAGGGAUAACAGCGCAAUCCCCUUUUAGAGCUCUUAUCGACAAGGGGGCUUACGACCUCGAUGUUGGAUCAGGACAUCCUAAG